ACCUUUUGUUCUGGAAUAAGAUUAGAAAGUUAUACGAUCGAAUCUGAAAUUUAAUUUUAGUUUCAUCAUUUUUUUCUUCUUCAGAUGAAUCCGAUAUAUAGGGAAACAAAAUUGGUAUUAACAAAAAGGGGUCGUCUGUGUUGUUGUUACAGGCACUUAUGCCUAUGCACAGUUGGUAAAUGUGUGUGAUGUACUAUUCAAAUGCUGUGCAAGUUUGUGAA
rnacentral:lncRNA from 1 species